rnacentral:rRNA from 1 species
AAAUUGAAGAGUUUGAUCAUGGCUCAGAUUGAACGCUGGCGGCAGGCCUAACACAUGCAAGUCGAACGGUAACAGAAAGCAGCUUGCUGCUUUGCUGACGAGUGGCGGACGGGUGAGUAAUGUCUGGGAAACUGCCUGAUGGAGGGGGAUAACUACUGGAAACGGUAGCUAAUACCGCAUAACGUCGCAAGACCAAAGA